rnacentral:rRNA from 1 species
CCUACGGGAGGCAGCAGUGAGGAAUAUUGGUCAAUGGACGCAAGUCUGAACCAGCCAUGCCGCGUGAAGGAAGACGGCUCUAUGAGUUGUAAACUGCUUUUGUACGAGGGUAAACGCAGAUACGUGUAUCUGUCUGACAGUAUCGUACGAAUAAGGAUCGGCUAACUCCGCGCCAGCAGCCGCGGUAAUACGGAGGAUUCAAGCGUUAUCCGGAUUUAUUGGGUGUAAAGGGUGCGUAGGCGGUCGGAUAAGUUAGAGGUGAAAUCCCGAGGCUCAACUUCGGAAUUGCCUCUGAUACUGUUCGGCUGGAGAGUAGUUGCGGUAGGCGGAAUGUAUGGUGUAGCGGUGAAAUGCUUAGAGAUCAUACAGAACACCGGUUGCGAAGGCAGCUUACCAGGCUACUACUGACGUUGAGGCACGAAAGCGUGGGGAGCAAACAGGAUUAGAUACCCGGGUAGUC